ACCUUCCAAAAAAAAAAAGAACAGAUCAUCUCUGCAGUAUCUAAAAUAAAUUAUGCAGUAUCACAGUUACCAAGACUGUGAGAGCUGGAGGAAACCUUAGAAGUCAUCUGAAGCAUCGAAAAGGGAACUACUGCCCUAAGCAAGUUCCCAUCACUUCUGGCCUGGACUCCUGCAAUGGCAAUGUAUCAGUUCUCCUGGCUCAUCUCUUCCCACUCCAGUCCAUUCUCUGCACAUCUGCCUUAAGUACAGAACACUUUAGGAGCAUGAACAAACAUGUUGCCAUGACAUCACUGAAGUAAGCAGAAAAGAGGGAGCAUGGCAUAGAGGCACCCUCAGAGUCAGGAAGACCUGGGUUCAAGACAUGCCUCUGACACGUGCUGACAGUGUGAGCCUGGAUGAAGAACACGAGGUGCAGAGAGAAGUUUCUAGCAUCUCUUUCCCCAAGUUCCAGUUCUAUAUUCAGUACUUGUUAACUGUAUGGCCAUGGGCUCCUGGGAGGUUCAUCAGAGUCACUCCAAAUCCACCACUGUGUGAGUGUCCCAUACCUUGAGCUUGGUGUAUUAACUUCUGGCAUAUUUAUUACUUGUACAAACUUGAACUACUCCCAAACACCCAGGACUCAUUGUUGAUAAUCCUGCUUUACUUCAAAGGUAAAGGCUAAUCUAACUACCUGUGAUUUUGGUACAAAGUUCGAGUUUCACCAUCAAUUCCAGCCCUACGACACAGCUCUCAGGUCCAUCUUCUCUUUAUGCCACAUCCCUCCAUCUUCUGCAUCAGACAAGAUCCAGUGUCCCAGCUCUUCCCUCCCCAUCCCACCCCAACCUUUCCACCUAAUUCUGGAAAUCAUAAUCAAAUCAUCACUAUCAUUCUAAGAAACAUGUCAAUAAAUUUCCUUAUGACUCCACUCAC